rnacentral:lncRNA from 1 species
UCAAAAGAGAUAAAUAUACACUUAUACUCUAAUGAUAAAUUAAUUUAGACUUUAAGGUUUAGAGUUAAGGGGUGGGGUUUAUGAUUUAGGAUUUAGGAUUUAGAGUUUAGGGUUUAGUGUUUAGAGUUUAGGGUUUAGGGCUUAGGGUUUAGAGUUUAGGGGUGGGGUUUAGGGUUUAGGGUUUAGAGUUAAUGGGUGGUGUUUAGGAUUUAGGGUUUAGGGUUUAGGAUUUAGGGUUUAGGGUUUAGAGUUUAGGUUUUAGGGUUUAGAGUCGGGGAGUAGGGUUUUGGGAUAAGAUUUCAAAUUUUGAAUAAUAAAAAAAAUUUAAAUUUUUCAAAAGAUAAAUUGCUAUUUUGGUCAAUUUAGUUUUUGAGGGCUAUUUUUGUUACAUAAACUUAGAAAUGUGCUAUUUUGGAGAUUUACCGUUACUAUAAUGCAAAUAAUUCGUAGAUAAAAACUGAUGACAGUGCCGACCACGGAAGAAAGCGAAGGAAACAUGGGCUUCCGACUGUUGGAAGCUUACAAAUAUUUUCGGCCAAUUUAUAACUCAAUUUUCACUUAGUCUAGCGGCAAAACGCUAAUCUUCUUCACAUAAGAGGUUAUGUGUUUCAAUAUCCAGGUUGUACAUUUUCUAUUUUCAUUUAUACUGGCAAAAAAAAAUUUUGGUUGUGCUUCCAGUCCAACAAAAUUCUGGGCCGGUACCACUGAUGAGAGGUGACAAAAAAAUGUAGUGAACAAUAACGGCGGAACCAUAGAAAGAUUCAGAUCAAGAUUCAAAUAGAAAACCAUAGUGAAAUUGAACAGCCACAUCUUCAUGGGAUCGUAAGAUUCUAAUCUCAACAGCGAUGAAGAAACUCUAUGUUUUGCGGUCAACCCACUAACCCCUGACCGGGUUUGAACCGCCCACCCACAAACCUCAUGGGUCAGACCCGCCAGUUUAUGGAUUUAUAUGUCCAAGCCUACUCCUUUGCGGAUCUUUAUGGGCUCAACCCGCAGACCACGGCCUGUAUUGAUAUCUUUAGGUCCACCGGUGCCAUAUACAAUAAGACUUUGGGAAAAAUAAUCAUUAUCCGCAGACGCCGCCCUGUUUAAUUGUAGGGCGAUUUGAAAAAUUCAAACUGCGGUUGAAUGUAUUUUAUACCAGGUGGAAAAGAAAAUAAUAUCUAUAGCGAAAUGACGACAAUUUGGGCGAUUUUCUGCGACAGUUUCUUUUUUCUCUCUACGAGUGAUUGUCCGGCCGUUUUUCCUGUUUCUAGGGCACGAUGCGUCGGUUUUUCUCCACUAAGCAAGAUCUUUGGUGGUUUCAGUACGUCGGUAUUUAAGGAUCACUCUUAGCAUUGAAGAUGAACCGGUGGCUCUUCAUCCUUAUGUGUGCGUUCAAGCAGCGGCUAUCAAUCGAUUCUCGUUGGUGGUUGUUCCCAUUAACCGAAGAAAACAGAAUCUUCGUGCUAUGAUCAAUCAAUAUCCUUGUGUUUGGGGGCGUGGAUUCAGUCGUCGGUCGUAUCAUCGCAGCAAAUCGUGUCCAAUUUAUAUUCCAAUCUGAGGAGGCGAUGCUUUCUGUCCUUCAUCGUUCCCCUUGGUCGUUUGCGGAAUGGAUGAUCUCUGUUCAUCGUUGGUAUCCAAAUAUUGAUAGUGAAGAACUCAGGAUCAUUCCGUUCUGUGUUCAAAUUUGUGGUAUUCCUCUUCAAUUUCUUACUCGUCCGAUGAUUGAGAUGUAGGAGGAAUUUUGGCUCUGGUAUUUGAUGUGGAUUUUGAUGAAAACUCUACAAGAUAUGAUUUUGUGCGGGUCCAGUUGUUCUGGAAUGUUGAUAAUCCUCAUUGAUUCCAGUGCAAUUUCCAGUUCUCUGCAGAUGUCAAUACCCUACUCUCCUUCAAGCAUGAGAGGCUUCGAAGUUUCUGUCAAAUGUGUGGUCACCUAUCACAUGAGCGACAUGAUUGUCCCUUAGGAUUUGAUGAUGAUCAGCCUCCGGCGGCAUCAGAUGAUGACAAUGAUGAUGACGGUGAUGAUACAGAUUGCGAUGAUGAUGAUGGGUCGGAUCCUCAUGAAAUGCUGGUGCUGCUAACACUGAAGGCUAUUUGGGUGAGGCUCCUGGUGAUGAUAAUUCUCAGGAACAAAUUGAGAAAGGUUUAAAGAGAAAGCGUGUAGGAUCCUCUGAAAUAGAUCAUCAAGAGUCAGUCAUGGGUGAGGCUUCUGAUGCUCCUUUUACUCCUCGGGUGCUUGGUGAUUUCUCCUCGGAAGAACAGUUCUAGCGUCUCGCUCCGAUGGCUGAAAUACAUGUGGAAUUUGAUAGAAGAAUGAGACCAGAGCGAACGCCGCGAAAGUAUAAUUUCAUUGAGAAUCUCCUGGCUGGAUCUUCCUCUCAAGUUGCUCCUUUGGAUAUGGAAGGUCAGGUUGACGAGGAUGAGGAUGAUGAUGAUGAUGACGAUCAUAUUAUCUUGGAAAUAAAGGAACGUUGUGGUGCUGGUUCAAUUUUUGGCCAGUAUGGUUCCUUCAUACGCGUUAAUAAUCCUUUUCUAUCCCUAGCUGAAGAACUUGAUGUGUCUCAGAUUGAGUAUCCUGGUAACUCCUCUGCUCUGAAGCGGUCAAGACCAGAAUAUAUGGUGGUGGAUAAGUAUCAAGUUGGGAAGGAGAUCAUCUCGUUAGAGUUUUACGAUCUUCAUAAGAUCAGUGAGGAUUAUGGUGAGGAAGAGCUUAUUUCGGGAGCUACUAACCCAAUAGACAGAGGAGCGGUGGGCCUGGUUCUACCACCCGUUCAAUGAGAGUCAAGGUUUGGAACUGUCGGGGCUUAGGACAACACCUCACAGUUCGACGUCUUAAAGAAAUGCAAAGGUUGUAUGUCCCUGACUUGUUGUUCCUCAUUGAAACCAAGCUGAAAAAUGAUUAAGUUCGCGAUAUUGGUGUAUAUUUGGAGUUUGAGCAGAUGGUUUUAGUUCCAUCAGAUGGUCUUAGUGGUGGUUUAGCUGUAUUUUGGAAAUCUUAUGUUUUUGUUUCAUGUAUUUCCAGUAAUUCCAGACUUGUUGAUUUGGCUGUUCAAUAUAAAUCCUUUAAGUAUUACCUCUCAUGUGUAUAUGGUCAUCCCGUUCCUAAGUUUAGGAAUCAGUUGUGGGAAAGGCUUCAACGUAUAACCGUCAACAGAUCAGGACCUUAGAUGAUUUGUGGUGAUUGUAAUGAAAUAGUUGAUCCUGCGGAGAAGAAAUGUGGUCGUAUAAGGCAAGUUAGUAGUUGUAUAGACUUCAAUAAUAUGCUAAAAGCCUGGGAUAUGAAAGAUGUUCCUUUUAUAGGUAACACAUUCAUAUGGGUAAGAAGAAAGAGAAGGGAGAUUGCGGAGUGUUGUUUAGAUCGGGUUAUGGUCAAUUCAGAAUGGCGAAGACAAUUUCUGGUUAGUGAGACUGAGUUCUUAGAGAUGGAUGAAUCGGAUCACAGACCUAUGAUCAUUACUAUUGAUUAUGUGCAGAGAGAACAUAAGGGAUGGUUUCGGUAUGAUAAACAUUUAGUUGAGAAAAUAGAUUUUGUUGAUACUAUUUCAUCGGCCUGGAAUCAGACUCAGAUUAUGGAAGACUGGAAUAAAAAAACUUGAUUAUUGUUGUGGUGAAAUGGUUAUAUGGAAAUGAAGGAAUCACGCCAAAUCUUCAGUUCAGAUUCAAGAAAUUAGAGAUAAGAUUGAUCACGCCUCGAGAGACUGUGCUGUAUUUAUAGAGGUGGUUAAUGAGUACCAUAGAGAUUUGAAUAAAGCUUAUCGUGAUGAGGAGAAAUUUUGGAGAUUGAAGAGUCGUAAUAAGUGGCUCAAUUUGGGAGAUCGUAACUCUCGGUUCUAUCAUGGGGUUACUAAAGCCAGAAGAAGUAGGAAUAAUAUCAAAGGAAUGCAUGAAUCAAUGGGAUUAUGCAUACUAAAUAUGAAGCGAUAGCUCAAAUAGCUGAAGAUUAUUUUGUUACUAUGUAUUGUACUUCAAUGUGAUGCAGGGUAAUGAUGUUCUUCCUCAUAUUCAACGAAAUGUUACUUCUGAGAUGAACAUAAUCUUACUGAAAGAAGUGACUGAUGAUGAGAUAAAGAAUACAAUUUCAUGAUUGGAUCUGAACGAGUGCCGGGUCCAGAUGGGUUUACAACUUCCAUUUAUCAUUAGUUUUGGGAUACUAUUGCAUCUGAUGUUUGUUGGAUGGUUAGAAGUUUUUUUGCAACAUGAAUUAUGGAAGAAGGUAUCAAUCAUACUCAUAUUUGUUUGAUUCCAAAUUUCCGGGGGCGUCAGAUAUGAGCAAUUACCGUCCUAUUAGUCUAUGUUCAGUGGCAUACAAGUUGAUCUCAAAGAUUAUGUGCCAACGUCUUCAGCAAUGUUUAGCUAGUAUUAUUUCAGAAUCUCAAGCUGCUUUCGUUCCUCGACGAAAAAUAUCUGAUAACAUUUUGGUGGCCCAUGAAUUAGUGUCAGCUUUGUAUUCUAAAAUUGAUUGCUCUUACCAAUAUGUAGCAGUCAAAGCUGAUAUAAGCAAAGCUGAUAUAAGCAAGAAUGGUCUUUUUUGGAAGCUACAAUGACUCAGCUAGGAUUUGAUUCUCGAUGGGUGGCGUUAACAAUGGAAUGUGUUUGGCCUGUUUCUAAUUCAGUUUUAAUUGACGGUCUACCGUAUGGAAACAUUAAACCUUCACGAGGUCUGCGUCAGGGUGAUUCUAUGUCUCCAUAUCUAUUUUUUCUAUGUGGAAGUGCUUAGUCAAAUGCUUGAUUGGGCUCAGAUUACUAAUAAGAUGCAAGGUAUGAGAUUGGCAAGAAGGUGUCCAAGAGUUUUACAUCUUUUUUUGCUGAUGAUUCAUUAUUCUUCUGUCAUGCAAUGUUGGAGGAUGUCAAUUGUUUGGCGUCAAUAUUUGAUCAAUAUGAAAAGAUAUCAAGACAGAAGGUGAACUAUGAUAAGUCAUCGAUCAUAUUUGGUAAACAGAUUCAGCAAGAUGUUCGUUCUCAGAUCCAUCAAAUUUUGAAGAUAUAAACAAUUGGGGGAGGUGGAAGAUAUUUGGGUUUACCAGAAUAGUUUAGUCGUAGUAAGGUUUCUGAUUUCUAGGGAGUUGUUCAGAGUGUAAAGAAUCAAAUACAACUAUGGUAUAAUCAAUAGUUAUCUCCUGGCAAGGAUAUAUUGAUAAAAUCUGUUCUUCAAGCAAAUCCAGUUUAUCCUAUGAGCUGUUCUCUACUUCCAAAAACAGUGUGUGAUGAAGUCAACUCUCUCUUAUCUGGAUUCUGGUGGGGUCAGAAUGAAGUCAAAAGGAAAAUAUCUUGGAUAUCAUGAAAUAAAAUGUGUCUACUUAAAAAAGGAGGUAUGGAUUUUCGUGAUUUGAGAGCGUUUAAUGUGGCUAUUCUAGCUAAGCAGGCCUGAAAGAUUAUGCAGAAUCCUGAUUCAUUGCUUGCAAGAGUAUAUAAAGGAAGAUACUAUAACUCGUCGACAUGUUUACAGUCAACAAGUUCAACUAGUUCUUCGUAUGGAUGAAAAUCCAUUCAAGAGUGUAAAAAUCUUUUAAAGAAAAGUUUACUUAUGCAAGUAGGGGAUGGGUGUAAUAUACGAGUUUGGGAGGAUUGUUGGAUUUCAGUUACUCCUCCUAAGAGAUUGGUGUCCCCGUGUACUUAUCCAAACAUGAAGGUGUCAGAGUUCAUUGAUAGUGCUAAUGCAACUUGGAAAGGGGAUAAGUUGAAUGCGUUCCUGCUACCUGAAGAGGUUGAGCUAAUAAAAGCUAUCAGGUUAUCAAAACAAAAUCAAUGUGAUUAGUAUAUUUGGCCUUACACUACAGAUUUGAAAUAUACAGUUAUAUCAGGAUACUGGACAGCUACUUAUGACUUUAUAGAAGAAGAAAUUAUAGCUCCAGAUGGAUCCUUAGUACUAAAGCACAUAUUUGGAAGUAGAAAUCCUUCCUAAGAUUCAACAUUUCCUAUUGAAAGCUAUUUAUGGUGCCAUGCCUACAUAUGUGCAACUUUGCUUAAGAGGAAUCGAUACUGAUCCUACUUGUCAGAGAUGUUGUGUGGAAGAGGAGACUAUUAAUCAUGUUCUCUUUAUUUGCCCUCAAGCGCAAGCCACUUGGAGAUGUUCAGGUUUACCAUUCUUGAAUUUUCAAUCCCAGGACCUAGAAGAAAAUAUAUCAUCUCUAUUUGCUCUUAUGAAUAGUACAAACAUUCCAACUAUCUCUUGGGUGUUAUGGUAUAUUUGGAAAUCUAUGAAUGAACUUCUUUUUGCUAAAAGAAAUGUUCAUCUAAUGGAGGAUAUCUUUAUAGCAGUUGAAACCAAUGAUGAGUGGAUCUCAUUUUAUGUCAGUACUAAAUCAAAAUUGGGAAAUGCCAUAAAGCGUUAUACUUGGGAAACUCCUUCCCUGGGAUGGUUUAAGUGUAAUUUUGAUUGUAGUUUCAGAAAAGAAAUUGGUAUUGCUGGUGUUGGAUGGAUUGUUAGAAAUGAGAAUAGAUUGUUUAUGUGUGCUGGUAUGGUUAGGAUUCAUAAUGUACUAUCUGCAUUACAAGGAGAAGCUUUGGGUUUUCUAUUUGCAAUGCAACAAGUCUGGAGGAGAUAGUCUUGAAAUCGAUCGCAUAGUCAAUCGUGUGGUACUUCAACAUGUUCAACUUGGAAAUAUGCUCCAUGAUAUACGGCAUUGGAUGUCUUUAUUAUCGGAGUGUUCUUUAAGUCCGGUCAACCGAGAAAGAAACCGAGAAAAAAAAUGAGCAGCUGAUGUAUUAUCAAAACAAAUAUUAGAUGAUCCUCAAGAUGUAAUUAGUUUUUCAAUUUCUCCUAUAUAAUUGCUUGAUUACUUGUAUUGGCCGUGUAAAAUUUACAUAUCAAUGAAAUGUUGUUCUAAAAAAAAAUAUAUAUAUAUAUAUAUAUAUUUUUCUCACUUCUCAGAUUAAUUAGUCACCACCAUAAUAGUCCAAUGUUUGAUUAACGCUUCAAUAACCGAAUUGCAGCAGGGAAAUAAGAAAGAAUCAAACUUCUUGUUUCACACUGGUGUUUUACUUUUGCCCAAAUUCUUGAAUGGUUCUUGUGGCGAGAGAAAGAACGUCUACAAACGCAGAGAACGAUGCUCGGAGAAACCUCGCCUCUAAUGCCUCAAAGUGCCUGUACAGUUAUCCGGUGAAGAAAAAUAAUUAAAAACUAGUAAAGAAGUAUGAUGAUGAAAGGACUCUGAGAAACUCACACAGAAAGCUUGUUGUCUGAUACCGACAUAACUCUUCUCACUUUAUCAGGCUGCAACUGCAAAAUAUUGGUUGCAACACAAAAACAAUUCAGUGAAAUGAAAAAAAACAUGUAACGUGUGUAGGGAAAUCGAACUUCUUAUUCUUAUAUUGGUAGAAAAAUGUCAAACCUCUUUAUCAACGUCUAACGUUGUGUAUACAAUCAAAGCAUGUUCUUCUGAUUCGAAAUUCACAUCCAAUUUACUGCAAAUUUGGGGGAAAACAAACUCUGUCACAUACAAUCCCUAGCUUCAGUCAAUCUCUUAUUGAAUAAAAAUCCAAUUUUGUUCGUGUCAUUACAAUGUAAACGUAGAUAUUAUGGUGCAAUCCUAAACCAAUCUCUAAGCUAAACCAAUCUCUAAGAAGGAAGUUUAGAAAGCUAUAAUUAACCUAAUUGAGCGGAGACAAGGUCGUAUUGCCGUCUAUGAGUAAAGAUGGGAACUUUGAAGUUUAGAUCAAAGAAACUCCUUUCAGUUGUGGCAAACCAAAGAUUUCAAUAAUCGAAUCAGUAUGUUCUAACAUCAGAUACAGAGCAACCCAGAAAGCUAAGAACCCAAAUCAGAGAAGAUGAUUCAUAAGAUUUAAGUAAGAGAAGUUACCAGCUAAAAUCCCAACCUUGGUUAGAAGGAGCACUUGCAGUUGCAGGGACAGUCGCAGCCAUUCGUUUUUUUUUUUUUUUUUUUUUUGCAGCUUUCUUCCUUUCGUCGCCAAUAGAGGUUUUAGCCAAGAAAAAAUUGAAAGCUUUGUUUCGACAAAAAAUAACAGAGAAGCUGAGGGUUCGAGUGGGCUACAAAAAAAAGGUUUAAUGGGCUUUCGGCCCAAAAAUUCUCACUGCAAUAUAACUUGGCCGAAAUACCCUUUACCCGUAAACAAUGGUGUCAUGAAAAGUAUAUGCCAUGGGAAUAUUUUUGCAUGAAGGAAUAUUACCAGAAUCUCGUCUACGGUCUUACUCAUUUUUGCUAUCUCUUCGUUCUCUCUCCAUCUCUCUCAAAGCUUUUUCUAUUGUUAUGAAGAUUAAAACAGUUCAGCUAGACAUCAUCGUUCACGAUCACGAGAGAUAAUGCUUUCCAGCUUUGGUUUCAGACAAAAGCAGUAUACCACCAGGCAUGUUCUCUUCUCACCUCUUUGUUUUGUUUCUUUUGUACAUAUUAACUAGCUCGUCUUUGUUCGUAAUCUCAUAACAAAAAAAUUGUUCAAGUACUAGAAGCUUAGCUUCAUAUACUCAACAUAUAUAUUGUUUUCAUGAAACCUAGAAUAUUUUAGCAUUAAAUUGUUUUCCAGUUAGUGGUUAAUCUUAUCCUCGUAUCAAAAGAUCUUGGCGUUUAACCCUCUUUAUACAGAGAUAUAUAACCAUAGUCUGCAGAAACUUAAUCAGAAACUUGUGUAUGUUAUAUAGGAGGGGAGGUACACAGACAACAUUUAAAGUCUCAGUUGAGGUUAAGUCUUGUCUUUACAAUAGUACAUUUCGAUCCGAGGUAAAUAGAAUAUAACAAAAUGUUUCUCUCUCUACACAAGUACAUAUCAACAGUUUGUAUUAAUCUCUCUUCCUUGUAAUAGCAGCAUCUCCUUCUCUAGCGUCUGUACGUUUCACCAGCUUGAUCACUGAAGCACUGCAUAGUUGGUCUGUACCAAAACUCUGUCAAAAGCUGAAAGAGAAGGCAGAUUACAAUGAGUGUAGUUGCUAAAGUUCUAUCUUGGCAUUGUUAAGCAGUCAGGAGCUUACCCGUGUAUGAAUUGAAGUGUGAGAGGUUUGUUGGUUAUGUAAGAGAAGGACCAACUUUGAUGGGUUUCACCACCCUCAAAGCUCUUCUUGCAUACUCAUAAACCAACACCAGAAGCCCGAAGAGGAAAAGUAGACAGCGAUGAAACUUUUCCACUAUGAAAUGUGAAGGAGAAGCGGCACUCUUGCCUUCUGAUGAGCUUCUAAUAAGUGAUAUUCUCCUCUGGAAAUAACCUGAAAGAGAACAAAAGAGAGCAAGCAAAUACUGAUGUCAGUCUCAGAACAACAUUCAAAGAAGAAGACCUAUGGUCUUAAACAAUGGAUGAAUUGUGUAUUUCUAUACCGGGAUCUUCCAUGGCGAGGUUAGUCCAAUCAGUUGCUGUUUUUUUCACUCCUGACGCUUUGAUUAACUCAAGAAGAGAUUUAUUAACCUGUAAAUUGAUCAGUGAGGUAUGUUAAUCAUUUCUCACAGGUUUUGGGGGGAUAGAGAUACGGCUAAGAGCAAGACAUUUUUUCUCUCUCUCUACCACCAUAUUAUAGCACAAGAGCCUGGUAAGUCUUUAUACUUAUUAUAGCUGACAAGUUAGGUAUCAUUAUGAUUGCUUGCAAUGGUUGAUCAGUUACUACAGCAGUCGAGAGUUCUUCCUAAUAUGCUCACUGAGACUUUCUCCAUAUAAUAUGAUUAAAUCAGUUUAUCAAAUUCAUAGUCAACUCACUCUUAUUUUCAGAUUAGUAUGAUUCUAUUUCAGUCUUUUAUAUCUUUUCUGUUAAGUUGUGGUAUGAUAAGCAUAAACAUUAACUGCAGAUUAAAGGAGAUAAGGGACAACAAAGACGCAUUAGCGACCAAGUCUUUGCAAUACAUCAGAGAUGCAAGAGAGACAGAGACGUUAAGACACUAGUAAAUAGGACAGAACAGUACCUCCUCUGUUCUCUCGUGGCUUACAAGAUGGCCUCCAUGAAGAUCAACCAUUCUAGCGACAGGGUAUAGCCUCUGUGCCAGUCUUCUCGCGUGACAUAUCUGAGCAAUGACAUCAUGUCUGCAUAUAAACCCACCACACACGCUCAAUUUAAUUGUUCGUAUAGGUAGAAGAUUCUUUCUUUAAUUCUAACUUCAUCUGUGUCCACAUACCUUCCAUGAAUGACUGAGACAAGAAAUCCAGCAGAGCGGAUCCGUUCAGUCUCUGGUGUUGUGAUCUUGUGUAACCAACAAGCGUUAAGUUGGCCGUCAAGCCCGUCCUUUGACUGCAUUCCAGUUUCUGAUAUUCCUUUUACAUAUUGCUGCAAAUUUGCAUCUCUUCAAACAUUAGUUCCCUUAGAUCACAACAUCAUUAGUCAAAUGAAUGAUUUAUAUGUCUGCAUUAUCAAACCAGUGUGCUCACCUCAUAUAGGACAUCCUUCCUUGUGUUGGUGCCUAUGCGUUCUUUUAGGUAAUCCUGCAUAUAUAUAUAUAUAAACAGCAUAAGAACUUAACCUCCUCACAAUUUUCCUCUAGAGAGUAGUACAUCACAGAGAGUUUUAUAGCCAAAUCAUUCUGCUAGCAUCUCCAAGACCAAUAAUAAUAUGAUUCAAUUUCUCAAUCUAUGCAUCGCUCAUAACAACCACAACAGAGAAAAAACAGCAUCGGACUUUGCAUAGAAAGAAAAUUGCAGUAAAACAUUUUCCAAACUCCAAUCAUCAGAUUUAUUUACAACCGCUCUAUGUCAAAAAAAACUUUGUUCUUAUAAAAUUUUCAGCACAUCAAAAGAAGAUCUCUCCACCUGUGAAUAAUGUGUAUCCAAAUCAACUUUAGCUCUUUGUUGAGGGGUCUUUGCCAUCCAGAAACGUAUCGCAAUGGAAAGAGUUAGCCGGUCAAGCUGAACACAGAGAAACAAAAAAGGCUAAAAUCAGAUUUGUAUCCAAAUGAAACAGUAUAUGUCUGUCACAGAAACCAAUUACAAAAGAACAACUACUUAUCUUUACACAAAGAAAUCAACAGAUUCAACAACACGUAUGAACAAAAGUCAUUGCUAUCAAAGAAGAAGAUUGAAGAAAUAGAGCCGUGUGUUUCAUCCAAGUAUUACCUUGGGGAAGCACUCGAAACCUCCACCUGUAACGUUAAGCAACGCAAGAGAAAGAACCCGUUCAGGAACCAUUGCAGCUAACUUGCAAGCUACCAUAGCUCCUGUUGAAUCCACAAACACAACAAUAAGAAGGAAGACAUAAAACGUAUCAGUCAAAACGUCACUUGAAUGAUCAAAGGAGUUACCCAUAGAGUGGCCAAUUACGUGAGCCUUCUCCCAUCCCAAAUGAUCCAACAAACUAAUCGAAUCCUUGGCCAUUAUAGUUGUUCUGCAAAGCACAAAUCAAAGCAAACAAAACCAACUUCACAACUGAUGGAUGAAUCGAAGAAGUAAAGGAACAUAAAGCACAAAGCAUAGGUUAUUCACUAUGGAGAGUCCUCACGUGUAGUCAGAUUUGUGGGUGGGCACGGAGCUUCGACCCAUACCACGAUUGUCGAAGGCGCAGACCUCCAUGCCUUGGCCGCUUCCUGAAUCAUCAUCGGAAACGAUUCCGUCGUCGUCGUUGGGUUGAUCCGUUCCCGUCAAGCCCUUGAUUUGAGGUCCCCACGAUUCAUGGGUUCCGGCUAAACCUGCACAAAAAGAGGAAACCUUUGAGAAUUUCAUCGGAAACCCAAUUGAAAUCAAGCUCGGAGAUCGAGAGAGAGAGACCUAUGAUGAGAAGAGCUCUGGAAGGACCAUGACCGUAGGUUCUGUAGAAUAUCUUGACGCCGGCAUUGUUAAGCGUCGUUUCUGCGUCUACGUGUUCUUUCACAACCUCGCAAUACGGCAUCGUUUAACGAUUAUCUUCCUCUUGGAAAAUUGGGUGGGAUUCGGCGGAUUCAGCAACCGGAAUAAGAAAAUGAAGAACAGAUAUGACUUUUUCUUUUUUUCUCUAUAAAUGGACGGCGAUUGGUUUGGUGGUUUGGUUCGGUUUAGUUGCGGGUGGGGUAAGCGACUGCCACGUGGGACUGGUCGGGAUGAUGGCUUGGUAAUACCUGAAAAAAGUCAACGGUCAAAUUUGACAUAAAACAGUUGAGACUAUUCAAAAACAUUGGUUUUGGUAUUAAUACGCAACUGUUUAAGAAAUAAUUAUAAAAAGAUUGUCCUCUUAUCCCCCAAGUGGUCUUUAAAUCAUCACCACUACAGAUGUCCAUUUGUAAUUUUGUUUUGUUGCUCAUAGUCGGUUGAUACACCGACUUUGUUUCACUAGAAAUACAUAUACUCUCCUAUUGUAACAAAUAUAAAUCUGAGUACAAAAGUUAUUCUCUCUUUUGAGUCAACAUCACUCUCAACUUAUCUCUCUCUUUUUCACGUGAUUCCAUCCAAAACACAAAAGAAUAUAAUAUUGUAAUUAUUAAUACAUAUAUAUAUAUAUAUAUGUCUCACCUCUUAUUAUACAACACGUUAUAAGCACGAGCUCUCAUAUAUCGGUGAAUUCUAUCAAUCCGGAAGCUCUGACCAAUCGAAAACCAGCUGAGGUAAUGUUUAAUUUAUGUAUUUCCAUAUACUUAAUUUAUUUAAAUUUUAUUAUUGUUCUAGAGUGAGAGGCUAGGCCUUCUCCGUUUAUUUUUCGGGAUGAUAGGCGCUGCCUUCCCUGACUGAUCGUUAUGGUAGGCUAUGUCUUCACGAUCAGAGAAACGCGUGGUAGGCUUUGCCUCCGUGAAUAAAAGAAAAUGUCAAAAAUGGUAGACUAAGUCUCCUCGGACCUUGAAAAAAGUAAAAGUCAAAAUGGUAAACCAUGUCUCCUCAGAUUUUGAAAAAUGAUCAAUAUGGUACUCUAUGACUCCUCGGAUCAUGUGGUAGGCUAAGCCUCCUAAUUUUAUUUAUGCUAUUUAAAUUCCUGCAAUUUAAAUUUAUGCAAUUUAAGUUUAUGCUUUUAUUUUAUGCCUUUAAUUUAUGCAUUUAAAUUAUGCAUUUAAAUUCCCGCCUUUACUAUAUUUAUAUAUUAUUCUAUGAAUAUAGUUAUCAUGUCGAAUUUGACAAAGCUCAAAAUUAAUGCCAUGGAUAUUACGGGAAAUAAUUAUAUGACCUGGGCAGUGGGUGCAAAGAUGCACCUGAGAGGAAACUAGUUUUUGGAAACCAUCGAUAGUUCAAAAACGGUGUCGGAUGAGAAAAAGGCAAAAGCCAUGAUAUUUUUACGACACCACAUCCAUGAUAGUUUAAAGGAUGAAUAUAUUACGAAAGAGGAUCCUUGUGAUCUCUGGAAAUCUUUCAAAGAGAGGUUUGGUCACCAGAAAUAUGUGAUCUUACUGAAAGCUAAACACGAGUGGAUCCAUCUCCGGUUCUAGGAUUACAAAAGUGUUAGUGAGUUUAAUUCUGCGAUGUUCGGAAUUACUUCGAGGAAGAUGUUAUGUGGAGAGAAAAUAAGUGAUUAUGAUAUGAUCGAGAAAACUCUCUCCAUGUUCCAUCCUGAAGAUGUAAUCAUGCAGCAACAAUACCGAGUGAAUGGAUAUACCCGUUAUUUGGAGUUGAUGCAAGUCCUCCUUGUAGUGGAGCAGAAUAAUCAACUCCUGACUUUAAACCAUCAAGCUCGUCCCACUGGAUCUGCUUCAUUCCCGGAAGCGAAUGUUGCAUCAUCCAGUUAUGAUAAUAGGAGAGGACGAGGUCGUGGACGUGGUGGAAACCGUUAUCAUGGUCGUGGAAGAAGAUUUCGUCCCUAUGAUGAAAGAAAUAAUAAAGACUUCCACGAAAAUGAAAAGUCUGAAAAAGACCGGGAUGAUAAAUGGCAAACGGGAAAGGUUUGCUACAGAUGCGGCAUGAAAGGUCAUUGGGUACGUAACUGUCGUACGCCAAAACAUUUAGCCGAUCUGUAUAGAGAAUCCCAAAAGGGAAAAGAGAAAGGAAGAGGUGAAACUAACUUCAUCUCUGAUGAACCCGUGCCAUCCUUUCAUGGGUUAAAUGAUGAUACUCAUCUCGACGUAUCAGACUUUCUGGUUGAGCCAAAGAGUAUCGAUGAGUGAUAGAAUCAAUGUGAUAUAAGUUUACUGUAUAUAUUAUCUAUAUCUUUUGUUGUAAGAUAUAUGUUAUGUUUGUUAUGUUUCAUGUUUAAUAAUAUAUGUUUAUGAAUAUUUUAAAUUCAGAAAGAAUGCCAAACUUUGAGACCAUGGAUGGAGAUUUGUAUUUGGCAGAUAGUGCGUCAACGCACACGAUAAUUAAAGAUAAGAAAUAUUUCUCUAGUCUCAAAAUAAGAGAUUACGCUGGAAGCGUAAGUACAAUAUAUGGUAAUGCAAAGAUUAUUAUGGGCUCUGGAAGAGUAAAAUUUUCAAUGCCAGGGGGAACGAUAUUUGAAAUAAGUGAUGCAUUGUACUCCCCUGAGUCUCAUAGAAACUUGUUAAGUUUUAAGGAUAUCCGAAGAAAUGGAUAUCAUAUUGAGACUAUGAGUAAAGAUGGCAUUGAAUUUCUUCGCGAUAAGUCCGAGAGGAAACAUAUAUUGGAAGAGUUAAGAAUAUUAUCCUCUGGAAUAUAUUGUACGAAAAUAACCAUGACUGAGUCCUAUGCCGUGGUAAACAUGAAGUUUACUGAUACUUUUAAAAUCUGGCAUGAGAGGCUAGGACAUCCUGGUUCAGUUAUGAUGAGAAAGAUAGUGCAAAAUUCGAAUGGCCAUCCGUUGAAAAACGGAAUUUUUUUGCAAAUGGGCGAGUUUACAUGUAAUGCAUGUUCUCAAGGAAAACUUAUAACUCGGGCAUCACCAGUAAAAGUAGGCAAUGAAUCACCAAUAUUUUUGAAAAGAAUACAUGGUGAUAUAUGUGGGCCGAUCCACCCACCGUGCGGACCAUUUAAGUAUUUCAUGGUAUUGAUUGACGCAUCUAGUAGAUGGUCAAAUGUGUCUCUUUUGACGACACGAAAUACGGUUUUCGCAAAAUUCAUUGCCCAGAUAAUAAAGCUGAGAACGCAGUUCUCAGAGUAUGCCAUUAAGAAAGUAAGGCUUGAUAAUGCUGGUGAAUUUACAUCGCAAGCCUUUGAUGAUUAUUGUAUGUCAAUGGGGAUUGAUGUGGAGCAUCCAGUUCUCCAUGUGCAUACACAAAAUGGCAUGGCCGAGUCAUUGAUAAAACGGUUGCAGUUGAUUGCAAGACCGUUAGUCUGGAGAACAAAGCUCUCAAUUUAUCUAUGGGGACAUGCUAUAUUGCAUGCGGCUGCACUGGUUCGGUUAAGACCGAGUGCAUAUCAUAAGUACUCCCCAUUACAAUUGGCAUCUGAGCAAGAGCCAGAUGUAUCCCAUCUCCGUAUCUUUGGGUGUGCGGUCUAUGUUCCGAUAGCACCACCACAAAGAACAAAAAUGGGCCCACAAAAAAGUUUGGGAAUAUAUGUGGGUUAUACGUCACCAAGUAUAAUAAGAUAUCUGGAACCAGUAACUGGUGAUAUGUUUACGGCAAGGUUUGCAGAUUUCCAUUUUAAUGAGGAUGAAUUUCCAGCGUUAGGGGGAGGAAUUAGAGAAAUUCCUAAAGAGAUUACUUGGUGUACACCGUCGUUGUUACACCUUGAUCUCCCUACAAAUCAAAGAGAGCUGGAGGUUCAGAAAAUUGUGCAUUUGCAUAAUUUGGCAAACCAGUUACCAGAUGCGUUCACAUAUACAAGAAGGGUGACGAAAUCUUGUAUACCCGCUGAAAAUGUUCCAUCAAGAGUUGAUGUUCCUAAAGAACAAACUGACGGAAAUAAAAUGAAUGAACCUAAGGUUCAGUUAAAGAGGGGGAGGCCAGCGGGUUCUAAAGAUAAAAAUCCCCGGAAGAAAAAGAAAUUGGAUGAGCAAAAUAGUAAGGUUCCAGAAGAACCUGAUAUUGAAAGAUGUCUGAAAGAAGACAUAAAUGGAAAGAUUCCAAAAGAGCCUGUUAGUGAAAAAUGUCUGAAAGAAGGCAUAGAUAAAGAUGAUCCAGAUGACGAGAAUGGAACAGAAAAGUAUGAGAUUUCCAUUAACUACGUCCGAGAUGAAAAGUUAUGGAUCAAAAAUAAGAUAAAAGAUGUUGAUGGAAUGUUUUUUUUUUUCUGUGUCCAAAGAGAUUGAUCAUGAAAAUGAUGAUCCCGAUCCAAGGUCCAUUUUAGAAUGUCAAAAAAGACAUGAUUGGGAGGAGUGGAAGAAGGCAAUUCAAAUUGAAUUACUCUCCCUAAAUAAAAGGAAUGUCUUUGGACCUAUAGUCAUAACGCCUGAGAAUAUAUAUCUUGUUGGGUAUAAGUGGGUAUUCGUGAAAAAAAUAAAUGAAAAGAAUGAAGUAACACGAUAUAAAGCCCGAUUAGUUGCCCAAGGUUUUUCUCAGAGACCGGGAAUUGAUUUUGAGGAAACGUAUUCGCCGGUAAUGAAUGCAACUACAUUUAAAUUUUUGAUGAGCCUAACGGCGUCUAAAAUCUUGAAAUGCAUCUGAUGGAUGUUGUGACUGCAUAUUUGUAUGGAUCGUUGGAUAACGAUAUAUAUAUGAAACUCCCUGAGGGAUUGAAAAUGCCAGGGGCAUUGAAAGAAAAAUCCAGGGAGAUUUGUUCGGUCAAGUUACAGCGAUCACUUUACGGAUUAAAGCAAUCCGGUCGCAUGUGGUACAAUCGAUUAAGUGAAUAUCUUUUGAGUAAAGGAUAUGUGAAUAAUGCGAUAUGUCCAUGUGUUUUUAUAAAGAAAUCGUCAUCUGGCUUUGUGAUCAUAGCUGUAUAUGUAGAUGACCCGAACAUAAUUGAAACUCAAAAGGAGGUUGAUGAUGCUCGAACUCAUUUGAAAGAGGAGUUCGAAAUGAAAGAUCUCGGGAAGACAAAGUUUUGUCUUGGGCUCCAGAUAGAGCAUCUCCGAGAAAGAAUAUUUGUGCAUCAAUCAAACUAUACGAAAAUGUUAUUGAAACGCUUUUAUAUGGAUAAAGCGACUCCUUUGAGUACUCCAACGGUUGGUAGAACUCUCGAUGUUGAAAGAGACCCUUUUAGGCCCUGUGAAGAUAGCGAGAAGAUAUUAGGUCCUGAAGUACCUUAUAUGAGUGCUAUCGGUGGGCUUUUGUAUCUUGCAAACUGUACUAGGCCUGAUAUUGCUUUUGCUACUAAUCUACUAGCAAGAUAUAGCUCUGCUCCUACUCGCAGGCAUUGGGACGGAAUAAAGCAUGUAUUACGUUGCCUCCAAGGUACAGUUGAUUUAGGGUUGAUAUAUUUUAGAAAACCCGAGUUUGAUAUGGUUGGUUUUGCAGAUGCAGGAUACUUAUCAGAUCCUCAUAAGGCUCGAUCGCAAACCGGCUAUGUUUUUACGAUUGGUGGAACCGCGAUCUCUUGGCGGCCCCAGAAACAAACUAUGGUUGCGACAUCUUCGAAUCAUGCAUAAACUAUUGCACUUCAAGAAGCAUGUCGAGAAUGUGUGUGGCUUCGGUCAAUGAGUCACCACAUACAAGAAUCAAGUGGAAUAGUCAACGAGAAAGAGCCGACGAAAAUAUUUGAAGACAAUUCGGCGUGUGUCGCUCAACUUAAAGAAGGCUACAUUAAGAGUGACAGAACAAAGCACAUUCCUCCAAGAUUUUUCUCGUACAUAAGGGAGUUCGAGAAAAAUAAAGAAGUGGACAUCGAAUAUGUACGGUCAUGCGACAAUCCAGCUGAUUUGUUUACAAAAGCUUUUCCGACUACAACAUUCCGAAAACACGUCUACGGUAUCGGAAUGCGGCAUUUGCGUGACAUGUGACAAGAAAGUUAUGUCUACUAUUAUCAGGGGGAGAUUACGGCAGUGUACUCUUUUUUCCUUGUCAUGGUUUUUGUCCCAAUGAGCUUUUCCAUGACUAGGUUUUUAACGAGACACUACGUAACACAAGUUUGGAUAAUCAGGGGGGGGGUGUUAUAGAAAUAAUUAUAAAAAGAUGAUUAUCCAAAAGGACACUUCUCCUCUUCUCCCCAAGUGGUCCUUGCAUCAUCACCACUACAGAUGUCCAUUUGUAAUUUUGUCUUGUUGCUCAUAGUCGGUUGAUACACCAACUUUGUUUCACUAUAAAUACAUGUACUCUCCCUUUGUAACAAAUGUAUAUCUGAGUACAAAAUUUAUUCCCUCUCUCUUGAGUCAACAUCACUCUCAACUCAUCUCUCUCUUUCUCACGUGAUUCCACCCAAAACACAAAAGAAUAUAAUAUUGUAAUUAUUAAUACAUAUAUAUAAGUCUCACCUCUUAUUAUACAACAGGAACUUCUUUCUUUCUAACAUUUUGAAAGGUUUAGGAAUUAUUUUGUCGACAUAAUCCCAUAUGGAUUAGGUGCAUAUAAAAGAUUUGAAUAUGCUUAUUUAUUCUCAUGUGAUUUAACCCAAACUGGUUAAUAUUGUUCAAAGUGUCCAUAAAUUAUUAGUGUAUAUAGAAUUAUCUCAAAUCAAUCUUGUAGCAAACCAUAAGUAAAUUUAUAUGUAUAUGACUAAAACAAAAUGAAGAACAUAAAUGACUUUUUCUUUUCUCUCUAUAAAGGGAGAGAGAGAUUGGAUGGCGAUUGGUUUGGUGGUUUGGUUCGGUUUGGUUGUGGGUGGAGGAAAAGACUGCCACGUGGGACUGGUCGGUUGGAUGGCGAGUAAUACUAAUAUCUAAAAAAGUCAACGGUAAAAAAGUCAAUGGUCAAAUUUGACAUGGAACACUUGAGAUUUAUUCAGAAACAUUGCUUUUGUGGUAUUAAUAAGGAACUUCUUUCUAACUUUUUGAAAGGUUGCGCUAGGAAUUAUUUUUUUGACAUAGUCCCAUAUGGAUUAGGUGCAUAUAAAUAAUUUGAAAAUGCUUAUUUAUUCUCAAGUGAUUUAACUCGAACUGGUUAAUCUUUUUUUUGACACUGUUUUAUUAAAACUGAUUUGGAACAUAUUACAUCGAAGAAUAUGACAAAUAAUGAGAAACUAAUGGUCUUUCCACACCGGAAAAUAUAAAAGAUAAACAUGAUUGAUGACAUAUUAGCAAUACCAAACUAGUCUUGUUUUGAAAGCAAGGUGAAUUAGAUGUUUCCGUUCUAACAAAUAGCAGACAUACUUCUAAUACCUUCAACAAAUGACGACAAUAAUUCUCAUAGUUUAGAUAUGUCUUCUUCUUCUUCUUCAGUUGCUUUGAUCAAUUUUGUCCCGAGUUAGCUUCAGUUUAGAUACCGUUGAACAAGCUUGAACUACAAAGUACAAAUCAUGUAGAUAGUCGGGAUUGACGAUUCACGUCCCAAAACCAACACGACAAAAACACAAACCACACAAAAUGGACAAUAAAACCAUAAUUAGAUCCAAAACGAAGCAAGAUCCGUUUCUAGAAAAAGGUUCCACCUCAAUAUCAAGAUAAAUUGAUAUCUCUCACCACAAAAGCACCGCAAAAAGAUGCAGAAAUAAGAGAAACAUAGGUAUCCAACGAUAAAUUAUUGGUAGAAGUGUCCAUAAAUUAUUAUUGUAUAUAGGAUUAUCACAAAUCAAUGUUGUAGCAAACAGUGAACAGAAAACCAUAAGUAAGUAGCAGCCGUCUUUUGACAAAUCUAGAUCUGAGGCCGGUCGGUGUUUUUUCUAGAUCUGAGGCCGGUCGAUGUUUUUUCUAGCACUGGUACCGGUCUUCGUCACGGAUAUAAUCUUCUUGGUGGUGAGAGGUCCAACGGAGCGGAUGCCUGUAGGAACACUGAGAACUUUGUUUUGGUGUCUCUUCUCUAAGUUCUAUUGCCAUGGUUGGAUACCUAUGUUUCUAUUAAUUUUCCAUCUUUUUGCGGUGCUUUUGAGGUGAGAGAUAUUAGUUUCUCUCGAUAUUAAGGUGAACCUUCUUCGAGAUCUUGCUUCGUUUUGGAUCUGCUUAUGGUUCUAUUGUCCCUUUUGUGUGGUAUAUGUUUUUUUCGUGUUGGUUUUGGGACGUGAAUCGUCAAUCCCGACUAUAUACCUGAUUUGUACUUUGUAGUUCAAGCUUGUUCAACGAUAGCUUAACUUAAGUUAUCUCCAGACAAAAUUGAUCAAGGUAACUGAAGAAUGAGAUGUAUCUAAACUAUGAGAAUUAUUGUCGUGAUUUCGUUGAAAGUAUCAGAAGUCGAUCUGCUAUUUCUGGAACGAGAACACCUAAUUCACCUUACUUUCGAAACAAGACUAGUUUGGUAUUGCUAAUGUGUCAUCAACCAUGUUUUUAUUUUCUGGUGUGGAAAGUCCAUUAGUUUCUCAUUAUUUGUCAUAUUCUUCUAUGAUGUUAAAUUUUUCCAAAUAAGUUUCAAUAAAAAAAUGUUAAAAAAAGAAAACCAUAAGUAAGUUAUAUGUAUAUAACCAAACAAAAGAUGUUCAAUCAAAAUUCAAGCCAUUGAACUACUUUCAGGUCUAGAAAUGGCUUACAAUACACCUAUAAUACACUUCUAUCUCAUCUAUAAAUGAGCACCAUGUUUUAACUUGAACAUAGGUUCUAGGUUAUAAUCUGUAGAUUAAUAUAUUAGAAACGGUAAUUUAUGUGCUUAGUAACACAUGUAUUAAACAGAGUGAUCAAAACGAUGCAGUUUUGGCAUUGGACCGGAAAGGGAAAGCGGCCAAGAGGAACCGAACUCCAAACGAGAAGAGAGCCCACUCGCUUGUGUUUCAUCCGCACAACGGUCAUAUUCAAAAGCUGAGGUCAAAGACAAAAGCAAAGGACUGAUAAAGCAAGGAUGGAGAGUUGUUAAUGGAGUGAAGCUGUACAACAAGCUCUCAGCCCUUGAUUCAUUGAAGAACUAGGAUCUCUCCAUCAGUCUAGAACACUAGGUUUCGAUUGUGUUCUAUAAAUUUCAUCUCUUUGUGAUUGCUGAAACCUAAGAAUGAGUGUUAUGAAUUUUCAGUAAAACAAAGCUUCAUCUUCUUCAUUUCACCUUUACUCAAAACUCUUUAACAUGAUAUGAAAUGAAUUCAUUUAAAAGUCAUUGCAAAUUGAUGUAGUGUUGGCAACAAACUUGGUGUAUAGCUGAAUCAGUAAAUAAUUUGAUAUAAUAUUAUAGCAUAAUAAUUUAGUAAUCAGAGGUUAUUCUAUUUUGAGUACUUUCUUUUUGGUAGUUAAGACUUCAGUAUGUUCGGUCCCCCGGCCAUAUGUAUAUAUGCCUUUGUAUUGUUAGAGGUUAAUAAUGGAACUUUAUCUUAGCACUCCACGACUUAUUCAUCCUUCCUACUUCCCUCACUACUUCACUAUUUACGUACACUAUGUAUCGAGUUAGAGAUCCACAUGUUUAGUGGACUACGGGUUUGAGAUAUAUGCGACCACCAAUUAACAUUCUUAAGUUAAUCUUUAAAAUACCUUGUUUGGGUCGCCAUAGCAGCUCAGCAUGUUGGAUAUACUCAUUCUUCUUAUAUCGGUCUUUAUUUCAGGUUGUGGAGCAUGGUCUUGGUCAUUGAGAAACAAGCUGUCACUCCCACACGUAUGAGAAGAAAAUGUGUGAGAUGUAACAUAUUUUAUACACUUUCUUAUAAAAAAAUUUCUCUGGUAAACUCGAAAUGUUAAAAAAAGAGGAGAGCUGCUGAGUGUUGAUCUGAUUUUCGUAAAUGGAAAGGUUUGUAUUUUAAGAGUUGUUUCGGUUAAACACUUUUGCACCUGUGAAAAAACACAUGCUUACUGAUUGCGGUCUUUCUUUCCAAAGUCAAACAUGAUUCAGGGGUCUAUUGAUAUCUAUCGUUUAUUCAUUUUAGUUUCAGAUAUAAACACAAAAGAAAAACCAUAACACCACUAACCAAAGCUUUAUAUAGAGUAAAUUGCAGUUGCUUACUGUUACGAUAGUUUUAAAGAUUGUAAAAAAACAAAAGACACAUCUUAGAUAUUUAAUACUUGCUGCGUAAACUCAAUACCCAAUUAACAUGAAGAAAACUAAAAAAAAUCAUAAAUUGGGAAUUGAAAAGAAAUUAUUGUCAUAAAAUCCUUGAUCUUCAAAUGAUUAUUAUCAUAAAAUCCUUGAUCUUCAAAUGAUUAAACUUCAGUUUGGUAUUGUUGGUAUCCAUUACCAAGUGGUCUUGCCCUAGUGGUAAAGGAGCUCUAGCUGGAGCUUUUGCCCUGGAUUCGAUUCUCCUUGACCACUCAUAGACACCUUAAGUGGCAAGAAAACCCGGAUUUCUAUGGGCUUCUUGGUGAUUAGUCCUUGGACCUAGAAAGCCUUUGGGAUCAUACCAAAGUUAUCCAAAAAAAAAAUAUUGUUGGUAUCCAUUACUAAAUAGGUUAUCACACAAUCACUCUAAGCAUGUAAUCAAAGAAACCAUUAUGUCUGUCAAUGGAAUGUAUAUUAUCUUUCACUCCCACCAAUGCAUUGAGAACCGAUGAUUCUAUGGCUCAAUAAUUUACUGCAAACAAAACCAAAACAUUUGACCACAGACUCACUCUGUAUCUUCCCAUGGCAUUGUAGUACAAUUCUUGAUGGCUUUGAGGAUAGGACAAUCAUAAUUUGAGAAAAUUCCAUAGAAAUACCCCGAUUAAGUUUUGUUAAGUUCUUUAAUAUCCAUUUUUUUGUUACCAAGUUUAAUAUCUCAAUUAGUUAUUUUGUUCAUUUGAACACUAAAAUUAUGCUCAUUUUAAUACUCCAACUAUAUUUAUUUUAAUCAAUAAACAUUGAUAAGUUUCAAAAUAAAUUAAAAACCUCUCAAAUUCAAAAAUAAAUAUUAAACUUUUCUAAUUUUAUUUGAAGUUCUAGGAAUAAAAUAAAUUAAAUUGUGGAUAAAGUUAAACCUUUUAAUUUUAAUUUUAUUUUUUCACAAUCAAUUUUAUUUUAUUUUCUUAAACUUAAUAAUAAUUUAUUUAAUUUUUCAUUCAAUAUUACGUUUUACGUUUUUCUAUAAUUUAAAAUUCAAUUCAAAAUUUAUUUAUUUUAUUUAUAAAAUUUAAAACUAAAUUAUUAUAUUUAAAUAUUGUUUUUGAAUUUGAGAAUUUUUUUUAAAAUAUUUGAAACUUAUCAAUAUUUUUGAUUAAAAUAAACAUAGUUUGAAUAUAAUGAGCAUGUUCAAAAAACAACAUUGUAUUAAAAAGUUUAACAAAAUUUAGUUGAAGAUUUUUUAUAGAAUUUUCCCAAAAUAAUUGAUGAAUAUUUUUCCUUAUAUGCCAUGAAAGAAUUAGUGUUACAUUUAUAGAAUUGAUUUAAAUUAUAUCGUAACAACUAAAUCAUAUAUCAAAUUAUUUUAUUAAAAUAAGUUAAAUAAUUAGUAUUAAAACUAACAUAAAACAUGUAAAACGUAAACAAAUUAUUUUUAAAACUAAAUAAAUAAAUAAAAAUUCUGUGCGAAUCACAAGACAAAUUACAAUUACAUCAAUACUUAAGCCAGCAUACAUAUCAUUUUGACCAAUCUCCACAAAAGCGUCUCACAUUAAAACUGAGCAAUUCAACUCCAUUUUUCUUCAUUGAAUAAUACCAUUUUAUUUCAAAGGAACAACUAUACAAAGUAGCAUGGUACGAUGCUAAACAUCUACUAAUCCAACUAAUCAUCAACCUAAGAUCGAGCUCAAUCAAGGGCAACACCAGGAGAUAAACCCACAUGCCCUUACACAAAAAGAUCAGACAACCAAAAAGGGGAUCCGUGGUUGAGCAAAAUCCGACAAUAUCAUGCUUUGCAAAAUGCAAAAAACUCCAAAAAUUCAAUGACAACUAGCCUUCUCCAAUUUUCACUCAAGAAUAUAAUUGAAGAAAGGGCCUAAUGGAAGAAGAAAUCCAUUUAUAGGAUGGCCAAGCUUAAGUUCUUGUAACUGCUCCUACCAAUUCUUUUGAGUCCACGUCGAUUCAACUUCAUAUAACUAAGUUUAAUCUCCAUCAAAAAUCUUACUGCCUAAAAGUUAGUAGCCACAGUAAAAUAAUGUAUGGUGCUUUUCCACACCGUAUUACCUCGCCAAGGCUUCCAUAUGGAACUGGAAUUGGAAUCAGAAAAUUUUGGAAGCUUAUGGAAAUUCGCUUCCAAAAUGCUUCAAAAUAUCUUGUUUAAAAACAUGUUGGAAACUUACGAUUCCAUUUUGAAUCAUAAUUCCAUUUAAAAAACACAUUGUCAUAAAUAAAUAAAUAUAAAAUCAUGUUUUUAUCUUUUUGAAUAAAAUUUAAAAUUUAAUAAAAUUAAAAUAUAGAGAACAGAAAUAUGAAAAUAUAAAACUAAAACUAUAAAUUAUCUUUAUGCCCUUAAUUUUUAUUAGAGAUAUAGCAUAUAUAUUUAAAAUAUAUUGUGUCAAUUAUUUAUGAAAUAUUUAAAAUAAUUAAUUUUUAAUAUUUUUUAUAGAUUUAAUUUAUUUAUAUUUUCACAGUUAUAAUCUGAAAUCAUUUAAAAUUAUAAUAAAUGAAUAAUUUUUUUCUUUCAAUUUGAAUAAUAUUUUUUAGCCAUAAAUUUUAUCAAAUUUUCUUAUAUAUAUGUGGAUAUAUGAUUCCAAGAUGUAUAUGCUUCAUAUUGUUUUUAAAAAAAUAUUACUUCUAUUCUUUCAUAUAGUUCCGUUCGGCAUACUCAGUUUCCGAUCGUGCCUAUUCCUUUCUGAAUUUUGUAUUAAUGCGUAUUUCAUAUUGAACUAACCAAAUAUCCAAAAAUACUACAUGAACUUUACACGUCGUACCUUUUCAUUCCUGAACUUUAUAGUAGUGAAUAUUCCAUAUUGAACUAAGCAAAAAUUUAAAAAUACUACUUGAACUCUCAAAAUCGUGCUUAUAUAUAUUGACCGUCAAAGGUACUAGUCAUCCGUUAAUUUAUCAAACGACAUCAUUUUAGAUAAAUUUUGCAAAAUAAAAAAUUCAAAAAUACUACAUGAACUCUAAAAAUCGUGCUUAUAUAUAUUGAUUGUCAAAGAUGUUAGUCAUCCGUUAGUUUAUCAAAAUGUAUCAUUUUGGGAUAAAUUCUAUAAGAUGAAAAAUUAAUUUUUGGGAGAUUCGAACUCUCACACUAGUGGACAAGUAUAAACUAAAUAUUUGAAUUGAUAAUAAAUAAUUUAAACUUGUAUAAUAAUGAUCUUUAAAGUUAAAUUAAAAAAUAAUAAUUAUAGAUUUAUUUGAUAAAACUAAAACAAUAAAAAAAUUUAUAACAUUUAUUUGAUUAAGUUAAAACUGAUAUUUAAGCUAAUGUUUACACAAUGUAUACAAGAAAGUUAUUUGGUCUAGCAAUUAAUAUGUCCUUAUUUGUCCACCAGUGUGAGAGUUAGAACCUCUCAAAAGUUAAUUUUUAGUUUUACAGAAAUUUAUCCAAAAUGAAGUUGUUUUGAUAAAUUAACAGAUGACUUACACCUUUGACGAUCAAUAUAUAUAUAUAUAUAUAUAUAAAUAAGCAUAACUAUGAAAGUUCUUCUAGUAUUUAAAAAAAAUUAUUUUACAGAAUUUAUCCCAAAUGACGUAGUUUUAAUAAAUUAACGGUUGACUAACAUUUUUUACGGUUAAUAUAAAUAUAAAUAUAUAUAUAUAUAUAUACGAUUUUCAUCUGGUAUUUUUGAAUUUUUGGUUAGUUUAGUAUGAACAACGCACUAGUAUAAAGUUUCAAGUUGAAAUAUACCGUUUUCCCAAAUUAGUUCUAACAUUUUACCAAAAAAGUUAAGAAAAAAUAAAUAAAUUAUGAAGCAUUCCCAAAGUCUCAAACGAGUACGUUUAGCCUAUAAGCCAAAAAGCGAAGACCGUAAUGAGCGCACACCACUAACUUCGCACGGCGUCCUUCCACUCUCCCAACUUUAACAACUCCCUUCGCGAUUCUCAAGAACCCUCACGAUAAUCUGAAAACCUAUUUGCAUUGCUCCGUCUCCGAUUAUUACCCAGACAAAUUGACGGAAAGUUUCACUCCAUUUUCCCGAGAAAAAGGAAAGAAAAGUAAUUAACUGCCGAACUUGUAGGUUAUCUUGACUUGAAAUUUGGGGGCGAGAUCGAUGUAAUGACUAGUUGAUUGGACUUUUUGAUUUUUUUUUUUUGCGAUUAGCGACUGUGUGUGUAAUGGAGAGAUCUAGAUCGAAGAGGAACUAUCACUAUGACCAAGACUAUGACGGAGAUUCCAUCGGAAGGUCUAAACCUCGCUACAGCCACAACUUUGGCGGCGGAAAUAACAGAUACCGCGGCGGCGGAAACGGACGGCCGUCGAAGUCUCACUCGGACACGAUGGCGACGACCACUUACCGUGUCCUCUGCCACGACGCCAAAGCGGGAGGCGUUAUCGGCAAAUCCGGAUCCAUCAUCAAGUCCAUUCGACAGCACACCGGCGCGUGGAUCAACGUCCACGAGCUAGUUCCCGGAGACGUCGAGCGUAUCAUCGAGAUUUCCGAUAACCGUCGGCGUGACCCCGACGGGAGAAUGCCGGCGUUCUCUCCCGCUCAGGAGGCUUUGUUCAGUGUCCACGACCGGAUUUUGGAGAGCGAAGCUCAGUACGGGUACGGCGUAGCUCCGCCGCCGGAGGAUGAGGAGGAUUACGGUGGUGUGAGGCCUGGAGGAGGGAAAGUGGUGACGAGGCUUGUGGUUUCCAAGGUUAAUGUUGGUUGCUUGCUUGGUAGAGGUGGCAAGAUUAUCGAGCAGAUGAGGAUUGAAACCAAGACUCAUAUUAGGAUUCUUCCUCGAGAGACUAACUUACCUCGUUGUGUCUCUCAGUCUGAUGAGAUUGUCCAGGUCUGAAUAUUGCUUCAAAACAUAUAUGAAAUAUGAAAUGGUGAAUAUUGUUUUUUUUAAGACUUCAUAUGAAUGUGUGUUGCUUCUUUCAGAUUGUAGGUGAACCUGCUGCAGUGAGAAACGCUUUAGGUAUUGUAGCGUCGCGUCUAAGAGAGAGUCAGCAUCGUGAUCGCACUCAUUUCCAGGGGCGUGUACAUUCACCAGAACGGCUACCAGCUGAUGACUACAUCCCACAGCAGAGAAGACAAUCAUCAGAUAGGUUUAACCAUGGCAAUUACAGGAAUAACAGUUUCAGCUCACGCCAAUCUAACUACGCAGAUGAAGCUCCAGCAGCUUCAGGUGGUGAGAAUGUGCAGCAGCCUUUCUACACUGAAGACCUCGUGUUCAAGAUUCUAUGCCCUGUUGAUAAGAUUGUUAAGGUUGUUGGAGAAUCACAAGGAAUAGUAGAUUUGCUUCAGAACGAUGUGGGCGUGGACAUGAGUGUAUCUGACCCUGUUGCUGGAUCUGAUGAACAGAUAAUUACCAUUUCUUCAGAAGAGGUACUCUUUAACAUCCUUACAUCUUCUGCAGCAGUAUCUGUUACAUAUCAACUAUGAACUUGAAUUUCUGGGUUCUUUACUUUGCCUAGGCACCUGAUGAUCCGCUUUUCCCUGCUCAAGAAGCUUUGUUGCACAUUCAAACUCAGAUCGUAGACCUGAUUCCGGAUAAAGAUAACCUUAUAACGACGAAAUUGCUCGUCUCAUCUAGAGACUCAGGAUGUUUGGAAGGGAAAGCAGGAUCAGUAUCUGAGAUAUCACGAUUAACUGGAGCAAGCGUACAGAUUCUCGCUAGGGACGAAAUGCCCCAAUGUGUUUCCAUCAAUGAUGUUGUUGUACAGGUUUGUUUGUCUAAUUUCGAGGACUUGUGCAUAUAUUAUUAUAAAGUACUUUUGGUCUUAGAAGAGAAUUUUCAUGCGUAUGUAGAUUGCUGGCGAGAUCAAAGCAGCUCGGGAUGCACUUGUUGAAUUAACCUUACGAUUGAGGAGUCAUAUGUGCAAGGAGCUCUCUCAGAAGGAGACACCACCGGGUUCCACUUCCACAACUGGCCCUCUUGAAGGUGUUGCAGGAGUAAUGGAGGUAGCUUCAUCGAAUAACACAACUCAAUCCCGUGAAGGACUCGCAAUCGCGCCGCAAUAUAAGGUUUUGGUCUCAUCAACAAUCUUUUCAGUACAAAUGCGUUCAUAAUCAGUUAGGGUCCCACGUAUUGACAGCUAGCUAAACGUAACACUACCGAUGCACAAUCUGAAGGUAGCUAAAUGGUUUAAUGUUCUUGUAUUUAAAUAUACUUUUUGUCCUGAGUUUUUCUAGGAAGGUGGUGGAUCAGUUGCAAAGGCGGGUGAAAGUGAACACCGGGAUGAGGUUCCUGUCACGGCUAGCAGGUAGAGAGACUCCCAAACUUAGAAUUAUUAUUUCCUAUCUGUGAAACCAUAUACAAAAAAAAUAUAUUAGAACUAUUUGUUUCACACAUCUCCUUUCUGUUGUUAUUUAGAAUGCCGGUGGCACUUGUUACUAGGAGCACUCUUGAAAUUGUCUUACCAGACGAGGUUAUUCCUAAGCUUGUUACGAAAUCAAGAAACAAGCUUGCACAAGUCAGUGAGGUGAAACUCUCUCUAUUAACUGGAACUAGAUUGGUUGCAUUGCAAAUCAUGUCUUGAAAAUCUAAUCUUCUUUCCCUCUUUCCCAUUUGAUCACAGUGGUCUGGAGCUACUGUAACAUUAGUUGAAGACCGACCGGAAGAAACACAGAAUGUCAUUCGUAUUUCGGGUACGCCAGAGCAGGCAGAGAGAGCACAGAGCUUGCUUCAAGGCUUCGUCUUGAGCAGUAAGUUUGUCCGUCUCUUUUCAAACUGAAUACUGCCAAGUAUCAUAUAGGACUGAUCUUUCCUUUUUCUUUGUUUCAGUACAAGACGAUGGACCGUGAACUUUAGACAUGUGCAUUGGGUUAACGGAGGGAAGGAUUCAAUCAAGAAACUGCGAAAUGGAGUUUGUAUGAAUUGUUGAGUAUUAGGAUUUAAGUAACGGGUAGAGGUUUAGAGGAACAUUUUGAAGUUGACGCUUUGGUUUUUAUGUUGUCUAUUAGUCGUUUCCUUGCCCUUUCUAUAACCUAUAAAAGUCAUAUAGUUUAAUCCCUCCAAAGUACUCUUAAAAUCUCAAAAGACCUUUUCUCUACGUGUUCACGCAUACUUGUGCAGUGAUAGAAUAAGAGUUAACCGUCACAUAAACAAAAUUUAUCCAUAGCAUCCAUUAGGCCUGGGAAACAUUUACCGGAACAGAGAAACCAAACUGAAUUUCUUAAAUAUCUGAACGACAUGCUAGCUGCAAAAACAAAGCUCGAAUAGUACCUCCUAGUCCUAUAUCAUUCAGCAAUCCUCAAUAAACAUUCCAUAAGGAGAACGUCUAGUCUCAUGAAACAGUUAGCUAAAAAAAACAAUAUUUAAUUAAUAAAAGUUAAAAACAUAGGAGUAUAAACAUUAAUCUUUGCUAAACAACUGUUUAUUUCGACGGAAACUUAACAACAUGAUUUUAAAAGUAUAUGAAAAAAAACACACAAAUAUAAUGGUCAAUAAAAUACUAAACUUAUACAUUUUUACCAAAAAACACAAACACUUCAAUAAUCCAAAGCAUAUACUUAUAUUAACCAUGCCAAAUUAAAUAUAAAUUUAGUCAACAUUAAAUUCCUAAUUUCUCUUCAGAAUCUUUUGUGUUAUUUUUAAGUGCAUCAUUUGAAGAUACUCCAGCCGUUUCACAUGCUUUCUACCGUUUUAACACAUAUUAAAAUAACACAUUAAUUCAGUAUAAUAAUGUAUUAUUUUCUGUAAUUUUCAAUUUUCAAUAUCCUUUAACCAAUAGUAAUUAAAUAAUCAAUUAAUUUUUUUGAAGUUUACAAUUUUUUCAUAGAAAACACAAAAUAUCUAUCUCUGUGAAACAAUUUUUUUCUAAAACAUCUAUUUUUUUAAAAAACGGAGGGAGUACAAAAUAAGAGACUAAAACAAAAUGAUAUUCAUAUGCCAAUCAUUUUGUUCUUUCUCUAGUCUUAGUUUUUAUUAUUCAAAUAUUAUUUCUAAAUCUGUUAAGACUCGUCUUUGAAUUCAAUAUUUAGAGUUUAGAAUUUUGAUUUAAGAUUUAUGAUUUUUGUUAAUUUUUAAAAUGAUUUAUUUAAGAGAAAAUGACUAGGAUAGCACUAAAAUAGUUUUUGUCACAAAUAUAGUCUCUAAAAAUUAAAAUGACCAAAAUAGCACUUAAUGUUUUAUCAAAAGAGAUAAAUAUACACUUAUACCCCAAUGGUAAAUUAAUUUAGACAUUAGAUUUAGAGUUAAUGGUUGGGGUUUAGGAUUUAGGGUUUAGAGUUUAGGGUUUAGGGGUGGGGUUUAGGGUUUAGAGUUAAGGGGUGGGAUUUAGGAUUUAGGGUUUAGGGUUUAUGAUUUAGGGUUUAGGGUUUAGAGCUGGAGAGUGGAGUUUUGGGAUAAGAUUUCAAAUUUAAAAAAAUAAAAAAAAUUUAAAUUUUUCAAAAGAUAAAAUGAUAUUUUGGUCAUUUUAGUUUU